rnacentral:rRNA from 1 species
GACGUAGGGCGCGAGCGUUGUCCGGAUUUAUUGGGCGUAAAGAGCUCGUAGGCGGCUCGUUGCGUCGGCUGUGAAAACCCGCAGCUCAACUGUGGGCUUGCAGCUGAUACGGGCAGACUGGAGUACUGCAGGGGGAGACUGGAAUUCCUGGUGUAGCGGUGGAAUGCGCAGAUAUCAGGAGGAACACCGGUGGCGAAGGCGGGUCUCUGGGCAGUAACCGACGCUGAGGAGCGAAAGCGUGGGGAGCGAACAGG